rnacentral:rRNA from 1 species
AAUGAUGGCCACGCUGUCUCCACCCGAGACUCAGUGAAAUUGAAAUCGCUGUGAAGAUGCAGUGUACCCGCGGCUAGACGGAAAGACCCCGUGAACCUUUACUACAGCUUGGCACUGAACAUUGAACCUACAUGUGUAGGAUAGGUGGGAGGCUAUGAAGACGUGACGCCAGUUGCGUUGGAGUCGUCCUUGAAAUACCACCCUUGUAUGUUUGAUGUUCUAACUUAGACCCAUUAUCUGGGUUGAGGACAGUGCCUGGUGGGUAGUUUGACUGGGGCGGUCUCCUCCCAAAGAGUAACGGAGGAGCACGAAGGUGGGCUAAUCACGGUUGGACAUCGUGAGGUUAGUGCAAUGGCAUAAGCCCGCUUAACUGCGAGAAUGACGGUUCGAGCAGGUGCGAAAGCAGGUCAUAGUGAUCCGGUGGUUCUGUAUGGAAGGGCCAUCGCUCAACGGAUAAAAGGUACUCCGGGGAUAACAGGCUGAUACCGCCCAAGAGUUCAUAUCGACGGCGGUGUUUGGCACCUCGAUGUCGGCUCAUCACAUCCUGGGGCUGAAGUCGGUCCCAAGGGUAUGGCUGUUCGCCAUUUAAAGUGGUACGCGAGCUGGGUUUAGAACGUCGUGAGACAGUUCGGUCCCUAUCUGCCGUGGGCGUUGGAAGAUUGAAGGGGGCUGCUCCUAGUACGAGAGGACCGGAGUGGACGAACCUCUGGUGUUCGGGUUGUGUCGCCAGACGCAUUGCCCGGUAGCUAAGUUCGGAAUUGAUAAGCGCUGAAAGCAUCUAAGCGCGAAGCGAGCCCUGAGAUGAGUCUUCCCUGAUACUUUAAGUAUCCUAAAGGGUUGUUCGAGACUAGAACGUUGAUAGGCAGGGUGUGUAAGCGUUGUGAGGCGUUGAGCUAACCUGUACUAAUUGCCCGUGAGGCUUAACCAU